GACGAACGCUGGCGGCGUGCUUAACACAUGCAAGUCGAACGGAAAGGCCCUGCUUUUGUGGGGUGCUCGAGUGGCGAACGGGUGAGUAACACGUGAGUAACCUGCCCUUGACUUUGGGAUAACUUCAGGAAACUGGGGCUAAUACCGGAUAGGAGCUCCUGCUGCAUGGUGGGGGUUGGAAAGUUUCGGCGGUUGGGGAUGGACUCGCGGCUUAUCAGCUUGUUGGUGGGGUAGUGGCUUACCAAGGCUUUGACGGGUAGCCGGCCUGAGAGGGUGACCAGCCACAUUGGGACGGAGAUACGGCCCAGACUCCUACGGGGGGGAGGAGGGGGGAAUAUUGCAAAAGGGGGGGAAGCCUGAGGGAGCAACGCCGGGGGGGGGAGGACGGCCUUCGGGUUGUAAACCGUUUUCGCCUGGGACGAAGGGUGGGGAAGGGUAAUGGGGAAAAAAGCACCGGCUAACUACGG
rnacentral:rRNA from 1 species